UACGUAGGGGGCAAGCGUUGUCCGGAUUUAUUGGGCGUAAAGAGCGUGUAGGCGGCCAGACAGGUCCGUUGUGAAAACUGGAGGCUCAACCUCCAGACGUCGAUGGAAACCGUCUGGCUAGAGUCCGGAAGAGGAGAGUGGAAUUCCUGGUGUAGCGGUGAAAUGCGCAGAUAUCAGGAAGAACACCCGUGGCGAAGGCGAGUCUCUGGACAUUUCCUGACGCUGAGGCACGAAAGCCAGGGGAGCAAACGGG
rnacentral:rRNA from 1 species